rnacentral:rRNA from 1 species
GACAGAGGGGGCAAGCGUUGCUCGGAAUUACUGGGCGUAAAGGGCUCGUAGGCGGCCAACUAAGUCGGAUGUGAAAUCCCCAGGCUUAACCUGGGAACUGCAUCCGAUACUGGAUGGCUUGAAUCCGGGAGAGGGAUGCAGAAUUCCAGGUGUAGCGGUGAAAUGCGUAGAUAUCUGGAGGAAUACCGGUGGCGAAGGCGGCAUCCUGGACCGGCAUUGACGCUGAUGAGCGAAAGCUAGGGGAGCAAACGGGG